GAUUGUCACCUAUACCUGCCCUCUCGACAAUCGCGGCUG
rnacentral:ncRNA from 1 species